UACGAAGGACCCGAGCGUUAUCCGGAUUUACUGGGUUUAAAGGGUGCGUAGGUGGACCUGUAAGUCAGUGGUGAAAGCCCGAAGCUCAACUUCGGAACUGCCAUUGAUACUGCUUGUCUUGAGUAUAGUUGAGGUAGGCGGAAUAUGUCAUGUAGUGGUGAAAUACUUAGAUAUGACAUAGAACACCGAUUGCGAAGGCAGCUUGCUAAGCUAUAACUGACACUGAUGCACGAAAGCGUGGGGAGCAAACAGGAUUAGAUACCCUGGUAGUCCACGCCCUAAACGAUGAUAACUCGAUGUUGGCGAUACACUGUCAGCGUCCAAGCGAAAGCAUUAAGUUAUCCACCUGGGGAGUACGACCGCAAGGUUGAA
rnacentral:rRNA from 1 species